rnacentral:rRNA from 1 species
GGAUGCGAUCAUACCAGCACUAACGCACCGGAUCCCAUCAAACCUCCAAAGUUAGCGUGCUUGGGCGAGAGUAGUAUUGCAUCAC